UGAGGAAUAUUGGUCAAUGGGCGCAAGCCUGAACCAGCCAUGCCGCGUGCAGGAUGAAGGCCUUCGGGUUGUAAACUGCUUUUGUACGGAACGAAAAGCCCUUCUCUAAUACAGAGGGGUCAUGACGGUACCGUAAGAAUAAGCACCGGCUAACUACGUGCCAGCAGCCGCGGUAAUACGUAGGGUGCAAGCGUUAAUCGGAAUUACUGGGCGUAAAGCGUGCGCAGGCGGUUUUGUAAGACAGAGGUGAAAUCCCCGGGCUCAACCUGGGAACUGCCUUUGUGACUGCAACGCUGGAGUGCGGCAGAGGGGGAUGGAAUUCCGCGUGUAGCAGUGAAAUGCGUAGAUAUGCGGAGGAACACCGAUGGCGAAGGCAAUCCCCUGGGCCUGCACUGACGCUCAUGCACGAAAGCGUGGGGAGCAAACA
rnacentral:rRNA from 1 species